rnacentral:misc_RNA from 1 species
AGAACCCCAGUUUGGAAUUUACAACAAGAUUACAAGGUACCAGAUAAAUAUAACAGACCUGGUUGUUCAAACGCAAAAUGCCAAAAAUUAAAAUCAAAGUUGAAAAACCAUUCUGUAACACACGAAAAACAGUUUUUCUCACAUUUCCAAACUGAGCAUAAGAAUGACCAUGCAACAUCUCAUGAGAAUUUCUUAGUUAAUCAGACUUGAUUUCAUGCAUAAUGCAGUCACAGAGCUGAUUAACCAAUGAAUUUAUUCCCACAAUAUAAUUCCUAGAUUUGACGGUUAACAGAAAGUUAAGAAAUGAAUCUUUGAUCGGCGUACGUAACUGGUGUGAAUCUUACCAUGCCAAGACUGGCCUUCGAUUGUACCUAGUGUCAGAGGCUGAACGAUUAAUUUUCAACUCACUCAAAAAUUGAUUACCUCAAUAAAUUCUAAGAAUGAGAAUGACCAUGCCAGAUAUCCUGAGAAUUUCUUAGUUAAUCAGACUUCAUUUUAUCCAUAAUGCAGACAGAGCUGAUCAACCAGAAAAUUAUUCUUAUAAUAUAAUACCUAGAUUUGACUGUUAAUAGAAAGCUGCCAGUGGGCUUUGAGAAAUAAAUCUUUUUUUGCUUGAGCUUGGGGGUGAAGAGAAUUUAAGGGGUGCAUUUAUCAUGAAACGGACCCUUAUCUCGACAGGUACAUAUAGUCAGCCGGUUUGAGACAUUUUUAAGGCAGGCUGGAGUGACUGUGUCUAUUUUUUAUUAGCUAGGAUAUUUAAUCAUUUAUUUCUUGUUCUCUCUCUGGGUGCUAGGACGCUCCAUAUUUUCUCUUACAACGGUCUGACAGCCAGCGUAUAACCUUCCUGUGGCAUUUUCCCUCUAUGUUCAUGUCCAAGUUUGCAUGUGAAUGAUUGCAAGAUAAGACACCCACAACUUUCUUUGUUCGAGUAAAACUUCAGGUUUUAAGACACAGAGCACAUUGUGGCCGCUUCAGUGAUGGAUGCCAUAGAUAACACAUGGCUGAUUUGUUUCGGCAAAAAGCACUUUUGUACUCACCUUCCGAGCCUCAAAUGGACAAGGAGCUUGGUUUUACCAUCGUGGUCGAGAAAAGAGCCUCCUUCAGCAGCUAACACAAACUGUAAAAGAGCUGUCGCGAUUCAGUGAUGAUGGAAGACUGUUACAAAUGGAUGCAAACAGCGUAAAGUAGAUACAACAUUUGGAGAAAAGAAUUGCGGCGGCACUUGCUAGACCUCGUGCACUUCACGCAAUCAGAUUACAAAGUCUGGUACUUUGCCUGAGGCAGGCCCAUUUUUCAGAUGGAAACAGCGUAGCAAAAACAACUGGAGAAAUGAAUUCUUUGCACUCGACCUCUGGAGCAUUCCGUGCAAUCAGAUUACAAAUUCCUGCAUCGACUACAAGGGAUGGAAGGGAGCCGAGUGAAGUCUGGAUUAGACGCAAAGGGCUACAAAACUCAAGCUGGACAUCAAACCCAUUACUGGAAGAUUCAAUGCCAUUCUUUAUAGUUACUGUGGUGGUGGCCGCUCUUCUGCGGGCCUUAGGGCUCGCAGAAGAGGAUUUAGUACCAUUUUCAGUGGAAGAAGUAGGGGCCCCUCCACAUCAACAAGCCAGGGCCCCCACUGAGCACAGAGAGGACUGAGUGUCCUCUCCGUGCUCAAAAGUUGUAAAUAUACGUUUGUUUCAUUCACAGUAAAAUAAAUGUUGCGUUUGAAGGGACACCACCACCUCAAAACACACAUCUAAGAAGGUGACUUAUACCCACGUGUACUGCUAGAAGUCUGUUCGUGAAAAUUAGGAAGAACCAAAGCCAGCAAGUGACACCAACCCCAUUGUGUUUUCCAACAUUGCAAUUGUUACAUUUUAAACAGUCAUUAAAAACAUGCAACGUUCUUAUAGUUAAAACAAAGAUUUUAGAAACCGCGUCUUUUGAGAAAAGUGAAAUUUGACUCUACACUUCUAAAGUUAGCCCUUCGCAGCCUUUCAUUUGGGAUGACAUCCUAAAACAAAGGCGCGUAAGGUGUGAAAGAGUUAUUUUUUUGUGUGAAGUGUCGGAGAUAGGAGCAUUCAUGGUACAGUAAUGAUUGGUUAAUU